rnacentral:rRNA from 1 species
AGUGCGCGUGCUUACCAUGCAAGUCGAGCGAGAACCGGACCUUCGGGUCUGGGGAAAGCGGCGAACGGGUGAGUAACACGUGGGCAACCUGCCUCAGAGACUGGGAUAACGUCCCGAAAGGGACGCUAAUACCGGAUGAUGCGUGAUCCGCUAAGUGGGUUACGCCAAAUGGUAGCUUCGGCUUCUGCUCUGGGAUGGGCCCGCGCCGGAUUAGCCUGUUGGUGAGGUAAUGGCUCACCAAGGCGACGAUCCGUAGCUGGUCUGAGAGGACGAUCAGCCACACUGGGACUGAGACACGGCCCAGACUCCUACGGGAGGCAGCAGUGGGGAAUCUUGCGCAAUGGGCGAAAGCCUGACGCAGCAACGCCGCGUGAGCGAAGAAGGCCUUCGGGUUGUAAAGCUCUGUCAGGAGGGACGAAGCCACUCAGGUUAAUAGCCGAGAGGGUGACGGUACCUCCAGAGGAAGCCCCGGCUAACUACGUGCCAGCAGCCGCGGUAAUACGUAGGGGGCGAGCGUUGUCCGGAAUCAUUGGGCGUAAAGCGCGUGUAGGCGGCCAUCCAAGUCCGAUGUGAAAGCUCGGGGCUCAACCCCGAGUCUGCAUUGGAAACUGGAUGGCUUGAGUCCGGAAGAGGAGACUGGAAUUCCUGGUGUAGCGGUGAAAUGCGCAGAUAUCAGGAAGAACACCGGUGGCGAAGGCGGGUCUCUGGGACGGUACUGACGCUGAGACGCGAAAGCGUGGGGAGCAAACAGGAUUAGAUACCCUGGUAGUCCACGCC